rnacentral:lncRNA from 1 species
GUCUAAUGAAAUUAAAAUUUUUUUUUUGCCUUUGAGAAAUUCACUAUGCUGUUGAAUAUUAAUCCUCUCAAAAAAAUGUUUGAAGAAAUUUUCUUUUUAUUUAUGAAAUCUGAAAUGAGAAAAAUUUAACCCCCCCCCCCCCCCCCUUUUUUUUUUUCACAUCCCCCUUUCCCUUUUUCCAAAACUGAUAUCAAUUCAAAUUUCUAAUGGAGUUUGCAACAAUAACUACUCUUAAAU